rnacentral:lncRNA from 1 species
ACAUCUAAAAAGUGAUCAAUAAAAUAGAAAGUAUGAGGUCGAGAUACUCAGAAUCAAAACUGAAACAAUAAUAUAGCUUGUCUUUGCAACGGGCUUAUAUCAGAUCUCAUCUAGCUUGUCUUUCCACACGGCAUAUCAGGUUUUAUCCAUACUUGAGUGGAGCAGUUGAGUGUCAUAAAUUGUUGGGACUUUUCAAUAUUAUUAGAUUGCAGGCAAUGAACCACAACCCAAAAAAAAAAACAUGCAUGUGGCUAGAAUAGUCAGAUUGUAGACAUUGUGAGCAGUGGCUAGACUAGUCAGGUUGUAAAAACUAGAAUGCCAUGGGGAAGGUAGCUGCAAAUCAAACAUCUCGUUAUUCCAGUGCACAUGUGCGUUAAGAUGCCAGGGCUCAAAUUUAUCUACACCAGGUGUAAACUUAAAUGAACCUUUUCUCAAAGUUUAUAAAUAAUAUUGUAAAUGAAUAUCAAGGGCCGUUGAACAGU